rnacentral:rRNA from 1 species
GACGAACGCUGGCGGCGUGCUUAACACAUGCAAGUCGAACGGUAAGGCCCUUCGGGGUACACGAGUGGCGGACGGGUGAGUAACACGUGGGUGAUCUGCCCUGCACUUCGGGAUAAGCCUGGGAAACUGGGUCUAAUACCGGAUAGGACCACUGCCUGCAUGGGUGGUGGUGGAAAGCUUUUGCGGUGUGGGAUGGGCCCGCGGCCUAUCAGCUUGUUGGUGGGGUGAUGGCCUACCAAGGCGACGACGGGUAGCCGGCCUGAGAGGGUGACCGGCCACACUGGGACUGAGAUACGGCCCAGACUCCUACGGGAGGCAGCAGUGGGGAAUAUUGCACAAUGGGCGCAAGCCUGAUGCAGCGACGCCGCGUGGGGGAUGAAGGCCUUCGGGUUGUAAACUCCUUUCGCUAUCGACGAAGCCACUUGUGGUGACGGUAGGUAGAUAAGAAGCACCGGCUAACUACGUGCCAGCAGCCGCCGUAA